AUUUACAUCCAUUAAAAUAUUAUGUUUACUUGGUAUAUAAGCUUGGGAAAAUUGCUAAAACGGAACAAAAAUUUAACAUGGUUGUCCCUUUAGUAUAAUAUCAUCUUUAAGUUGUCCUUUUAGUAUAAUUUUUUUUAUAAUUCCAAAACUAACCUUGAUUAAUCAAAUUAAACAUAAUUUAAAAGUUGAAUUGAAUUUUAAAAGUUUAAUAAAAAGGAAAAAAAAAGGCAUUUCACAAAGGCAAAAGAAAUUAAAAC
rnacentral:lncRNA from 1 species